GGACCCAAGGUCCAGGGACUCUGCCACACCCGCAGCAGGGCCGAGAUGGUGGGCGAGGUUGGCGCUGCCGCUCGACGCUGUCGGCCGCUUUCCUGACGCCGGAGGUCGCCCCCUCCUCGCUGGGAGAGGGCGGAGAGAAGGAGGAGCAGAAUGUGGAGCUCGGGAAUUUGGUCCCCGGGUCUGAGAAACCAGGCAAAAGGCGGGGGAAUGACGGAAAGUGACGUGCAGUCGUGCAGCAGUUGCCCAGCUGCGAGUGACGCAGAGAAACAGGGGCUAUUCCCAACGCCAGCCUUGCAGUUCGUUACCGACUCGGCUGCAUUCUAAAAAGAAUGAGCGCAUGAACCCAGUGAAAGUCCUGACGUGUCUUGUUCCGAAAACUUGGAGAUUGUGAGUCCGUGUUCUAUGAGCUGGGCAAACAGAGGUGACAGCAGGAAACACAGUGUUUCGUAGGAGACUGGCAAGGAAGAACACGACCGUUACAUUCUUAUGGAACCUGAACCUUGCAAUGACUUUUCUUUCAUCAUGUGGUCCCACUUCUGCUGUGUUUGCUGUAAAUGGAACACCCGGCGGCGGUCCUCUGGGGUCCCGCGGGACGGAGAAGGUACUGAGCCUCCGGGAGAGGAAGCCACGUCCCGGUGAAGCCAGCGCUUCCCUCCAGGCUCCUGACAGGGUCACUCCUCC